rnacentral:rRNA from 1 species
UACGGGGGGGGUAAGCGUUGUUCGGAAUUACUGGGCGUAAAGGGCUCGUAGGCGGCCAACUAAGUCAGACGUGAAAUCCCUCAGCUUAACUGGGGAACUGCGUCUGAUACUGGAUGGCUUGGAUUUGGGAGAGGGAUGCGGAAUUCCAGGUGUAGCGGUGAAAUGCGUAGAUAUCUGGAGGAAUACCGGUGGUGUAGACGGCUCUCUGGACCGCAACUGACGCUGAAACACGAAAGCGUGGGUAGCAAACAGG